AGCUUUUACAAAACUAAAAUAGAUUGUUCUAAGCCUAUAAUAUAUUCAAGUGAGAAAGAAAAUGUGUUGUAGUUGUGCUCAAAAAAAUUGUGCAAAAACGAGUCGUAUAUUCGUAUCCAUUUAUAACACUAACACAGGUGUCAGGUCAUCAUAAUAAACUGAAUAAUAUGUAUUUUUACAGGAAAAACUUUCAAAAGUCACAACUCAUAAUAUUUAUUUUUAUUUGAAAUAUGAAAAACAGCAAGUCCAGAUUUCAAUUUUAGAAACUCUAUCAGAAGUCGUAAUAAACGUCUGAAAAAACAUAAAUUGUUGACUAUUUUGAAAUGCAUUUUUAUGCUCUUAUUUAAAAGUCAACCUUAAUUCAAUCUGAUUAAUUUUUCUUAGUUUUACAAAUAAAAAAAAAAAACCAAUUUUGACUACUGAGGAGUCUGGAGUAUGCGUAAUAAUAAUUUUCAAUUUUUUCUGUUAGUAACGACUGGUAUAAUAGUGCUUGGGUAACAUUAAUUAAAAUUGCCUACAUUUCAACACCAUUAAAAGGAUUGGAAGAGGCGAUUUUCUAUAUUUGUAGAGUUAACUUGUAAAUCGUAAUAUAAGGAAUUUAGGAGAGGUAAACUAUUUUCAAUGUACCAUUUAAAAUAAAUUAUUGAAGCGAUAAGAACUAAAAAUAGAUUUCAAUUUGUUUUAGUCUUCCUGUCAUUGAUUCCCCAAUAUUUAAAACAUCUAUUAUAAGUUUAAAUAUGACAAAUUUUUAAUGUCAAACUUUUUUAGAAUUCAGGCAGAUAAAAUCUAAAAUGAAGGGAAGUUGGUCUCAAGUAGAUUUACGAGUGAAUUUAAAUCUGUUUUCAAAAAUUCUAUUGCUUCACUAGUUCACUGGAUAAAUUGGUACGUUGGAAAUAGAACACGUUAAAAUUGCAAUAUUGUGCGUGUGAUAGUUAGAUAAAGAAAGAAAAUUACCGAUAUCAGUCCUCAUGUAUCUCAUAUUCUCAUGUGAUGUCUUUCAUUAUUUUUAUCAAUGAAAGUGUUAAGUGACGUAAGCGAUUGUCUGGCUCUGUAGAGUGCGGGCUGUGGCUAUAAGAGGGUCUGUGGUAAUACGAAUGCGUCACACCCGCAUGCAAUUGUCUACAUCAGAAUUCUUACAGACGUACACAACCAUUAAUAAUUAUCUAUAAAUAUAAUUUGUAUGUGGUCAACUUCAGUAUUGGAGUUAACUGAUCUAUUAUAAGAUACAAAGUUUUUAUCUUCACGGAGUGACAGAACACAACAAAUUCUUUAACCGAUGUCCAUAAGUUAAUAUUUUAUAAUUCAUGUUUGUGGUAGACCGCAUAUUGGGAGAUAGCCUAUAUUAUAUAGGUAAUAGCUAUAAACAUGAUUGUACGAACAGGACCACGGACCAUAACUUGAGGAUUAUAAAAGAACAUGCACCUAUAAUUAAGAUCGAUUAAGUCAAACAAUCAACUAGUUAAAAAACUACACUCUAGAGUGCAUGAAAUGGUUCCAUGACUGUGAAGGUCAGAAAAACAAUAAAUGCUAAAAUAAAAUUAUUAUUCAACAUUAUUUAAUUGAAAUUGUUUUUUCGAUGUUUGGAGAAGAAACAUAACUCAAAUAAAAUUUUAGUCAUACAAUCCAAUA